rnacentral:tRNA from 4 species
GGGCCCGUAGCUCAGCCUGGCAGAGCGGCUGACUUUUAAUCAGUAGGCCGAGGGUUCGAAUCCCUCCGGGCCCG